rnacentral:tRNA from 1 species
GUCGUUGUAGUAUAGUGGUGAGUAUCCCCGCCUGUCACGCGGGAGACUUGGGUUCAAUCCCCGGCAACAGCG